UGCCCACGCCCAGCCACCCCCGCCCCGCCCCACUGCCAUCGCCGGUGCAAAACAUUCAAAAACAAACACGGUGGCGUCCGGCGCGGGCAGCCCCCAUUGGCCAGGCUCGCCCCCCACCGCAGCCUCUUCCCGCGCACCUCCCUGUGCUCACCCUUCCCACGGGAUCUCAGCGCCUCCCCCCCGAGGCUGGGUCACUACAGACGGCGAAGCGGAGGCACAGAGGGGGCAGUGGGAGCAGAACCCAGGAGUCCCUCAUCCCUGCUAAGGAGCCAUCCCGAUGGGGCUGCUUUGCGCUCUGGCAACUGACUGCCCUGGUAGCUGAGCUCAGGCUGGGUGAAGCAGCCGCUCCCCCAGUGGUGUGUGCUGCCUGGGAGCGGAACAAGAUAAUGGAGCAGCUGAUACAGGACUCGAUUAAUAAAGAAUGAAAGGAGAGUACUAUAAUUAAUGCCAUGCAACAUGGAUUUAUGGAAAAUAGAUUCUGUGGAUAUAACUGGAUAACUUUUUCUGAUGAAAUUACAAGUUUGGUUGAGAAAGGCAAAGUGCUGAUGUUCUGUAAGGUGUUUGGCUUGGUACCACUCAACAUUUCGAUUAAAAAACUUCAGUGAUAUUGUAACCUUGCACUCCAUAUGUUUUAUGGAAAUAUGCUUUAUGAGUGAAUAUGAUGCAACUGGAAUAUGCUUUAUGCAAUAAGAUAUUAUAACAAAGGUUAUAACCUA